rnacentral:rRNA from 2 species
ACGGGGUGCAGCAGGCGCGAAAACUUUGCAAUGUGCGAAAGCACGACAAGGUUAAUCCGAGUGAUUUCUGCUAAAGAAAUCUUUUGCUAGUCCUAGAAACACUAGUGAAUAAGGGGUGGGCAAGUUCUGGUGUCAGCCGCCGCGGUAAAACCAGCACCUCAAGUGGUCAGGAUGAUUAUUGGGCCUAAAGCAUCCGUAGCUCGUUUCGUAAGUUUUCGGUUAAAUCCAUACGCUUAACGUAUGGGCUGCCGGGAAUACUGCAUAACUAGGAAGUGGGAGAGGUAGACGGUACUCGGUAGGAAGGGGUAAAAUCCUUUGAUCUAUUGAUGACCACCUGUGGCGAAGGCGGUCUACCAGAACACGUUCGACGGUGAGGGAUGAAAGCUGGGGGAGCAAACCGGAUUAGAUACCCGGGUAGUCCCAGCUGUAAACUAUGCAAACUCAGUGAUGCAUUGGCUUGUGGCCAAUGCAGUGCUGCAGGGAAGCCGUUAAGUUUGCCGCCUGGGAAGUACGUACGCAAGUAUGAAACUUAAAGGAAUUGGCGGGGGAGCAC